UACAGAGGUCCCAAGCGUUAUCCGGAUUCACUGGGUUUAAAGGGUGCGUAGGUGGGUUGGUAAGUCAGUGGUGAAAUCUCCGAGCUUAACUUGGAAACUGCCAUUGAUACUAUCAGUCUUGAAUAUUGUGGAGGUCAGCGGAAUAUGUCAUGUAGCGGUGAAAUGCUUAGAUAUGACAUAGAACACCAAUUGCGAAGGCAGCUGGCUACACAUAUAUUGACACUGAGGCACGAAAGCGUGGGGAUCAAACAGG
rnacentral:rRNA from 1 species